rnacentral:rRNA from 1 species
UUGACCUCGGAUCAGGUAGGAAUACCCGCUGAACUUAAGCAUAUCAAAAGCAGGGAGGAAG